GUUGAAGAACGCAGCGAAAUGCGAUACGUAGUGUGAAUUGCAGAAUUCAGUGAAUCAUCGAAUCUUUGAACGCACAUUGCACCUCUCGGUAUUCCGGGAGGUAUGCCUGUUCGAGCGUCAUUUGUACCCUCAAGCUCUGCUUGGUGUUGGGUGUUUGUUCCGCCUCUGUGUGUGAACUCGCCUCAAAACAAUUGGCAGCCGGCGUACUUGUUUCGGAGCGCAGCACAUUUUGCGAUCCAGAUCAACGUACAGCGGCAUCCAAGAAGCCUUAUUUAACGCUCUUGACCUCGGAUCAGGUAGGGAUACCCGCUGAACUUAAGCAUAUCAAUAAGCGGAGGA
rnacentral:misc_RNA from 1 species